UCUUCAUCCAGCCUUUUGCCACAUUUGCAGC
rnacentral:piRNA from 1 species